rnacentral:rRNA from 1 species
AGUGAACGCUGGCGGUAGGCCUAACACAUGCCAGUCGAACGGCAGCACAGUAAGAGCUUGCUCUUACGGGUGGCGAGUGGCGGACGGGUGAGGAAUACAUCGGAAUCUACUUUUUCGUGGGGGAUGACGUAGGGAAACUUACGCUAAUACCGCAUACGACCUACGGGUGAAAGCAGGGGAUCUUCGGACCUUGCGCGAUUGAAUGAGCCGAUGUCGGAUUAGCUAGUUGGCGGGGUAAAGGCCCACCAAGGCGACGAUCCGUAGCUGGUCUGAGAGGAUGAUCAGCCACACUGGAACUGAGACACGGUCCAGACUCCUACGGGAGGCAGCAGUGGGGAAUAUUGGACAAUGGGCGCAAGCCUGAUCCAGCCAUACCGCGUGGGUGAAGAAGGCCUUCGGGUUGUAAAGCCCUUUUGUUGGGAAAGAAAAGCAGCAGGUUAAUACCCCGCUGUUCUGACGGUACCCAAAGAAUAAGCACCGGCUAACUUCGU